CUUGUUUGAGACUUUGUUCACUAAAAUGUAUUGAAGCAAAUUGUGUAUUUGUAUUUGACAACCAUUGCUCUUACACUAACUUAGCUAGCCUACUAGCAAAUAUUGAAGAAACAGAUAACAAGUCAAUGGGUGGGAAUUGUUAAACAAUACAAUUUAGGAAGAAUACUAAAUAUUAGCAAUGUCCCAGAGCAACCAUUACCCUGUCAAAAAGACAGACAAAGCAAUAUAUUUUUUUUUAUACAUUUAGACUGAGUUAAUGUGAACACAAUUUGUUAUUAAAAUGGCUCCUAAUUAAAUGGCAUAACAUAAUCUUAAUAUACAUGCAAUUAACAGCAUAACAAUUCACCAUAAAAGUAAUGAUGUAUAGAAAGAGCAUGUUGUUAUUGUUUGCUGGUUGAUGCUAGAUAAACUCAUGGCAAUUUUUAUCAUCAGAGAGAGUGAGAAAGUAUUUCAUUAGAAUAAACAGAAGAUACUGAGUAUAGAGUCGUACUGCGCUUUGGUUAACAUAGACCUACUUUAUAAUAGGCUUGUAGUGUUGUAGUCAAUUUUUUCUUUAUCCAUGAACAGUGGGGGCAUUUGUUUCAGCUCCACUAGCAAAAUGAGGCCCAAACAUCAUAUUAAAAAUAAUUAGUAGGAAGAGAGACUGGGAAAGAAGAGCACACCAUGAACUUGGAGAAAUUAGGGGGAUAGCCAUUAUCAGUUGUGCCAAUUGCCCACAUAAUCUCCGUUACAGAACCAACACUUUUGGCUUAGGAAGAAAAAUUAGAAGUCUUCUGAAAACCCCACCUUUAUACACACAGAUCACAAUUUUGAGUUAUGCAAUGUGACAUUAACAUCAGUUUGUUUGUGUAGAUCAGCCAGUUAUUCUAUUACAUAUAUAGAAUAGGGGAUAGUCUGCUAAAUACAAAUAAAAUAAAAGAACAUAGCGUUUAUCUGUGUAGGGACUAAUAAUAGUGUGCAAUCACAAUUGGUCACUCACAAACUAUCUGAUGUAAAAGCAGCCUUGAAUAAUAUCUUUUUCUUCAGUAUCCACUGUGUUGUCCCUCCUCACACUUCCAUCAGCGAAUUAGUAUAUAUGGCUCAAAAGAGAAAAAUAUAUACAAAAAUGUAGUGCACUUCCAGAGUAUAAUAAAAAAAUAUUUUAAUAACUCACAUUUAGGUAUAAAACAAAUAG